UACGGGGGGGGGUAAGCGUUGUUCGGAAUUACUGGGCGUAAAGAGCUCGUAGGCGGUUUGUCGCGUCGGCCGUGAAAUCUCCACGCUUAACGUGGAGCGUGCGGUCGAUACGGGCAGGCUCGAGUUCGGUAGGGGAGACUGGAAUUCCUGGUGUAGCGGUGAAAUGCGCAGAUAUCAGGAGGAACACCGGUGGCGAAGGCGGGUCUCUGGGCCGAUACUGACGCUGAGGAGCGAAAGCGUGGGGAGCAAAACGG
rnacentral:rRNA from 1 species